rnacentral:rRNA from 1 species
AGACGCUGGCGGAAUGGAUUAGGCAUGCAAGUCGAACGAUAUUUAUCCUUUCGGGGAUAGAGACAGUGGCGAACGGGUGAGUAACGCGUGGGGAUCUACCUCUAAGCGGGGGACAACUCAGGGAAACUUGAGCUAAUACCGCAUGUGGCAGCAAUGCUAAAGAUGGCCUCUAUUUAUAAGCUAUCGCUUAGAGAUGAACCUGCGUACUAUUAGCUAGUUGGUGGGGUAAGAGCCUACCAAGGCGAUGAUAGUUAGGCGGCCUUAACGGGUGGCCGCCCACACUGGGAUUGAGAUACGGCCCAGGCUCCUACGGGAGGCAGCAGUCGAGAAUAGUCUACAAUGGACGAAAGUCUGAUAGUGCAAUUCCGCGUGGAUGAAGAAGCAUUUCGGUGUGUAAAAUCCUUUUCUCUGUGAGCAAAGAUCAGAAGGUGAACAAUUUUUUGAUUAAGAUAUUAGCAGAGGAAUAAGCCUCGGCUAACUCCGUG